rnacentral:rRNA from 1 species
UGCAUUUGAAACUGGUUGACUAGAGUUUUGUAGAGGGUGGUAGAAUUUCAGGUGUAGCGGUGAAAUGCGUAGAGAUCUGAAGGAAUACCAGUGGCGAAGGCGGCCACCUGGACAAAGACUGACACUGAGGCGCGAAGGCGUGGGGAGCAAACGGGAUUAGAUACCCCGGUAGUCCACGCAGUAAGCGAUGUCUAUUAGAAGUUUGUGGCUAUAUGCCGUGGGUUUCAAAGCUAACGCAUUAAAUAGACCGCCUGGGGAGUACGGCCGCAAGGUUAAAACUCAAAUGAAUUGACGGGGGCCCGCACAAGCGGUGGAGCAUGUGGUUUAAUUCGAUGCAACGCGAAGAACCUUACCAUCCCUUGACAUCCAGAGAAUCACCUAGAGAUAGAUGAGUGCCUUCGGGAACUCUGAGACAGGUGCUGCAUGGCUGUCGUCAGCUCGUGUUGUGAAAUGUUGGGUUAAGUCCCGCAACGAGCGCAACCCUUAUCCUUAGUUGCCAGCACGUAAUGGUGGGAACUCUAGGGAGACUGCCGGUGAUAAACCGGAGGAAGGUGGGGACGACGUCAAGUCAUCAUGGCCCUUACGGGAUGGGCUACACACGUGCUACAAUGGCAAAUACAAAGGGUUGCUAACCUGCGAGGGUAUGCGAAUCUCAUAAAGUUUGUCGUAGUCCGGAUCGGAGUCUGCAACUCGACUCCGUGAAGUUGGAACCGCUAGUAAUCGUGGAUCAGAAUGCCACGGUGAAUACGUUCCCGGGCCUUGUACACACCGCCCGUCACACCAUGGGAGUGGGCUGCACCAGAAGUCAUUAGCUUAACCUUCGGGAUGGCGAUGACCACGGUGUGGUUCAUGACUGGGGUGAA